GCCGGGCAUGGUGGUGGGUGCCUGUAAUCCCAGCUACUCGGAGGCUGAGGCAGAAGAAUCACUUGAACCCAGGAGGCUGAGGUUGCAGUGAGCUGAGAUCGCACCAUUGCACUCCAGCCUGGGCCACAGAGUGAGACUCUGCCUCAA
rnacentral:SRP_RNA from 1 species